rnacentral:lncRNA from 1 species
UCGUUCAUGGGUAUGUGUGUGGCAAGGUGCCUCGUUCCCUUGGUAGUUCAUGGGCAUGCUGUGUGGCAAGAUGCCUUGUUCCCAUAGGUAGCCUGACUAUGUGGCUUGCCAUGACCUAGCCUUGCCAGCCUCACAUGCAUUCUUCCCUUGGUCGUUCAUGGAUGGGCAUGUGUGUGGCAAGGGGCCUCGUUCUCUUGGUCGUUCAUGGGCAUGUGUGUGGCAAGGUGCCUCGUUUCCUUGGUCGAUCAUGGGCAUGUGUGUGGCAAGGUGCCUCGUUCCCUUGGUCGUUCAUGGGCAUGCUGUGUGAGUUAUUGGUUUCAAAACUGACUUGGAUGUAUAAUCAUUA